GACGAACGCUGGCGGCGUGCCUAAUACAUGCAAGUUGAGCGCUGAAGGUUGGUACUUGUACCAACUGGAUGAGCAGCGAACGGGUGAGUAACGCGUGGGGAAUCUGCCUAUGAGCGGGGGACAACAUUUGGAAACGAAUGCUAAUACCGCAUAAAAACUUUAAACACAAGUUUUAAGUUUGAAAGAUGCAAUUGCAUCACUCAAAGAUGAUCCCGCGUUGUAUUAGCUAGUUGGUGAGGUAAAGGCUCACCAAGGCGAUGAUACAUAGCCGACCUGAGAGGGUGAUCGGCACCAUUGGGACUGAGACACGGCCCAAACCCCUACGGGAGGCAGCAGUAGGGAAUCUUCGGCAAUGGACGAAAGUCUGACCGAGCAACGCCGCGUGAGUGAAGAAGGUUUUCGGAUCGUAAAACUCUGUUGGUAGAGAAGAACGUUGGUGAGAGUGGAAAGCUCAUCAAGUGACGGUAACUACCCAGAAAGGGACGGCUAACUACGUG
rnacentral:rRNA from 1 species